AUGGCUCAGAUUGAACGCUGGCGGCAGGCUUAACACAUGCAAGUCGAGCGGCAGCACGGGGAGCUUGCUCCCUGGUGGCGAGCGGCGGACGGGUGAGUAAUGCAUAGGAAUCUGCCCGGUAGUGGGGGAU
rnacentral:rRNA from 1 species